rnacentral:lncRNA from 1 species
AUUCUAUGCUCUGUGGGUCUCCUGAAGGGACUCAGUGAAUUCUCGGAGGAGACACCUUGCAACACGUUCCUGUGCAAAUCCUGCAGGAAAUCUAGGGGUUUCUCCCUGGACUUGGUUGGCUUUAACCCCUUCUCCUGGCCUCGUGUAUGCCCCACUUCAGGAGGGAGGACAGCUUCAGUAAAUGCACUAGGAUCCAGAGAGGCUGGAGUGCAGUGACAUGAUUUUGACUCACUGCAACCUCUGCCUCUCAGGUUCAAGCGAUUCUUGUGCCUCAGAUUCCCAAGUAGCUAGGAUUACAGGUCCUGAAAAGGUUGCAUCAGCCCUUUAGCCAUUACCUGCCUCUUGAUGAAGCGUCAGAGCAGGUGUGCAUACACCUGCCAGCACAGAAAAACCUUAACGUAAAGUUG